rfam:Camelus ferus unplaced genomic scaffold scaffold1708, whole genome shotgun sequence.
GAGGGUAUAGCUCAGUGGUAGAGCACGUGCUUAGCAUGCACAAGGUCAUGGGGUCUAUCCCCAGUACCUCCA